UACGGAGGGGGCUAGCGUUGUUCGGAAUUACUGGGCGUAAAGCGCACGUAGGCGGCUUUGCAAGUUAGAGGUGAAAGCCCGGGGCUCAACUCCGGAAUUGCCUUUAAAACUGCAUCGCUAGAAUUGUGGAGAGGUAAGUGGAAUUCCGAGUGUAGAGGUGAAAUUCGUAGAUAUUCGCAAGAACACCAGUGGCGAAGGCGGCUCACUGGCCCGGUACUGACGCUGAGGUGCGAAAGCGUGGGGAGCAACAGG
rnacentral:rRNA from 1 species